AUAGUCACCGUUCUAGCGAGCGCUUGCGUUUUGCUGGCUGGCUUGUUUAUCGAGCCCUUUUAGGCCCCCACCGUGGUGCAACUGUUGAAAACGUCACACACACACACACACACACAUACACUGUCUUUGCGCAACGUUUUCCUUGUGCUCUUUAACACACACACACACACACACACACACACACACACACACACACACACACACACACACACACACACACACACACACAUGCAACCUCAGGUGGAACGGGUGCUUGCGGGCGCCGACCGUUGGUACUUUGACGCAUGGAAGCUGGCGGAGGUGGCGCAGGCAAGUCGGCAGCCGCCGUCCUAUAGCCAGCCGGGACCACCGCCGUGACGUACGAUCCGCGCGCGGCCUCCACUUGAACCUGCUGCACACGCACCUGUUCUCAUGGCGUUGGGCUUACACGGCUUCCGCAUGAUCUGGCCAGCCAUUGCCGGCAGCUGAGUUGUGCUCGGCCGCCCUCCCGCACACCUCGCUGGUCACACGCACGCGUAGGGACAUGCGCUGAGCGCUCUGGGCUACUACCUCAUUCAACGGGAGGGGCUGAUUGACAAGUUCCGACUCAAGCCCGUCAUGCUGGCCAGGUAUGGCCGUACGAGCUAACGUUCUUGUGUGUGCCAACGCGAUGCCCUAUCAGGCUGAUGCAGUCGGAGGUGCUGGUCGGGCAGGGCCUCGUGGUGUUGUGUUGUGGUUGUGUCGGUGCCCUCUCGUGGCCUUGCCUUGACGGGGUGGCCUUACUUGUGCCGCGCCCGCUGCACAGGCUCUUGCGCACCAUCGAAUCCGGGUACAACCCAGACAACCCCUACCACAACGCCACGCACGCGGCCGACGUGCUGCAGACGCUGCACGUGAUCAUCCACGGCGCCGGGCUGCACGCAGGUGGGAGCGUGAGAAGCGCGUGCCACCGCGUUACGGAGUUCUGGUGCGCCCUGCGAACAAUCCAGUGCGGACGCUUUCUUGUCGCGUCGUUACGAUGAUCUGGGAGCCAAGCUACUCACUACGCAAUUGUCGACUUGUGUACCGUAUGUGUGUGUAGGCUACCUGGAUCGGCUAGGCCUGCUGGCCGCCUAUUUUGCGGCCAUGGUGCACGACCACGGCCACCCCGGCCUCACCAACGACUUCCUCAUCGCCACCGGGGACGUGCUGGCGGUGCGCUACAACGACAAGAGCCCGCUGGAGAACCACCACGCCGCCUCCGCCUUCGCGCUGCUGCAGCGACACGACCUGGACCUGCUGGGCCACCUGCCGCAGCAGGACCGCGCCGCCUUCCGGAAGCAGGUGCGCGUGGGGGUUGUAACUACCAGCCCAAACUGAACCAAACUAAGCCAAACUAGCGGAGCACAGGCAGCGGCGACAGGGUUAUGUAAGUGGUUGAGCGGUUGGGUGGGCGGUUGAGGUAGUUGGGAGGGUGGGCGUGGGUGUGGGUGCAUUGGUUGUGGGGAUAGCGGGCCAACAUCUUGGGCAGCUCCCGUUAAGGGGAUGCCGGAUGGUGUGUAUGGCACACAGCGUGCUGGGACACAGGAAGGGCGGGGUUAUGAGGCAGGCCCGGGGAGCAUGUGGUGGUAUUGAUUGAUCACGCUGUGCCUUCGUGACUGAUGGUGUUGCCGCAGGUGAUCGAGAUGGUCGUGGGCACGGACAUGAAGCAGCACUUCACCAUCCUGUCGCACUUCAACACCGCCCACCGCCUGCCCAGCUACGCGGCGCAGUCCGCCGCCGUGCCGGCGGGCAGCGGCGCCGCCAGCGCGGCGUCCACCCCCACGCGCGAAGGCCCGGAGCUCUCACCUCCCAGGUGUGACCCCUGCAUGCCCUCACUCACAGCACCAUCGCACUCCACUCUCGCCCUAUUUUUGCACACAGCCGCACGCAUACACUUGCACGCAUUCGCACAUACAGUUUCGAUCCCACCACCUUGUCCUUUCCUUAUAUACACGCACGCUCAAUCGCCCACACACAACAGUGAGCUGGCAUCGGGAGCCACAGCUGCCGCCGGGUCUCUGAGCGCCAGCCCCACCGCCGCCGUGUCCACCGCCCAGCCGCCACCUGGGUCGGCGCCGUCACCCUUGGACGAGGCGGAGCGGCUGCUGACUCUGCAGGUGGCGCUCAAGGCCGCGGACGUGGGACACCUGGGCGAGGAGCUGUGCGUGCAUGAGAGGUGCGCGAGGGGGAGGCGGGCGGUGGGCAGGCGGAGGGUGUGGGGCGGGAAGGAAGAGGAGGUGCAUGGGAGGGGCGCAGGGCGCAGGGCGCGUCAUGAUGCAUGCGACACACGGGCAGCGAUGACGGAAAGCUGAAGACACGUGAUGGUGGGUUGUGGUUGCAGGUGGUUGGGUGUGCUGGAGGAGGAGUUCUUCCGCCAGGGCGACAAGGAGAAAGCUCUGGGACUUCCAAUGAGUCCACUUUUCGACCGCGCCAAGCAGGGCGUCAGCAAGAGCCAAGUGGUGAGUGACACAUGCCACAUGCUACUGUCUAUCACAGAUUUCUAGGUGGUGAGUUAGCCACACCCAGCAGCCCACGCACUCAUCCACGUCCGCAACAUGACCAUGGUCUGGUUGUCAAGGUGGUGCGGGAACAUGUGUGACUACAAUCGAUCUACCUGUAUUAUUGUUAGUGGACGUGCUCAUGCACAUGCGCACACGCCUCCUAACACAACGCGCCUGCUGGCUAUCACAAACUUCCAUCUGCAGGGCUUCUACGACUUCGUAGCGCUGCCUCUGGUGCAUGCGCUGGCGAGCGCAUUCCCGGGUGCGCGGCCGUUGCUGACCGCGUUCCGACGUAACUACGGCCACUGGCGGGCGGUUGAGACAGCGGCCAGCAACUCUGGCAAGUAGUGACUCCCGCCGGGGUCGCAAGCAACCGGUUAGGAUCACGGCUGCCGCCUGGCGCUGGGGGCCAUUUCGUGAUGGUGGUGGGAUUCGGUUGUGUAGUCAACCGCUCUUUGGGUAUCUAGGGAUGAGGGAGGGUCGCAUUGCGCCAUCCGUGGCAGUGGGAUGCGGCAUUUGGUGCCUGAGGGCCAUGCGGGCGCCUUUGGGGAACUGCGGGGUUACUUCUAUUACUCACCAGUCCGCCUGUGAUUCGGGGUGUUUUGAUUUUAGGGUGAAGGGCGGCGUGCGUUGAAAGACGCACAGCAAUUCAGCCACCGCUGAUGCUGCCAGGUUGGCAACAUAAAAUACUAAUGGCAGCAUAAUGAACAAUGCAUUUGAAGUCCUCGACAGGAGAUUCUUCCACGCUUUCAAUGAGGGAUGGUUGUCAUGUGUAGUGGACGUGGCCAUGCAUGUGUUGAACAAAUUCUUUACAGUCGAUGCGCGUGUAUGCUUUGUCCCUGUUGGGUGCCCGCAUGGACGUGGACAUCACGAGUCAUGAGUCGAGGCAGAAGGCACGCAGUAUGUGCGGACGCGCAUGAGGAAGGAUGAAGAGCACGCAUUGCGCAUCGCUCGACUGAGAUUGAUGCCGCAGCCAAUGUUGAAACAUGCUGAACCUAAACAGACGGCGUCCCCAAUCAUGCCCUCUUGCGGUACUAGUGGAGGCAUGGGCCGUGCACGGUUGGUCCAGGGAUGGCGCAAAAAUGUGCAUGGCUUGUGGGUGGCAAUAGGCGGGGAGGGCAUGGUGCUUCACUGCCCCACUCUGUCCUUCAAUUGACGCGGGUCCACGGAAUGUAGCCGACUGCAAUGGGUACGCGGUGAUUGUGAGACUGCUGAUAGCAGCAUGGGUCUCUUCAUGACGGCGUGUGGCGCUGUUGUAUGUGGUGACGGGAAGCUGACGCUGGUGGGGUUUGGCUAUUGGUCGGGGCUGGGGCUGGGUGGCACGGCCCUUGCCUCGUGUGAUGCGCAGUGCUGAAGGGCAGGGUAGUAUGGACUGGGCAGGGGGUGGUAUGGACUGGGCAGGGGGUAGUAUGGACUGGGCAGGGGGUGGUAUGCGUAGUAUGCUGCACCGCACAUCAAAGCGCGUGGCAGCACGAAAGAGUUGUGAAAAGAGGCCAUGUGGGGUUCACCUCAACAGUUUUGAUCACAAGUCGCUCUGCACCGCUUGCCAAGGUGGUGGUGGUAGUGCGUUCCGCUUAUGCGUGGUGUCACGGGUGUAGAGGACCACUGAGCAGUGUGGUGAAAUAUGCACUGGUGUGCCCUGCAGGUGCGGGCAGCAGCUUGCUGCAGGGUGCACCUCCAGAACACCGUUUGGGCGGGCCGACGUGGGUGAGGUGUACCCUGGAUGCUGUAGGGCGUUGGCCUGAACGGCGCUUAGAACGCAACUGUACAGCAUGGCAGUGCCGCAACGGGUGAUGUGGGUACAAUGAUAAAUGUCAAUCAGUUAUGGGUGUUUGGUCGGUGCUAAUUGGCGUCCCUCGUAACGGCGCUGGUGACCAUGAAAGCCAGUGCGUUUGCUCCUUGCCUAGUUGCCUGCACUUGGUAGGCUACAAGCACGCCCGUGAACCCGUCCGUGUGCUCACUGUGGCUGCGCGGCAGGCGGCUGAGUAAAGCCUGAUGGGGGCUGAGGAGCACAUCUUGUGCCGUGCGUCAUGAGGAGUAGUACGAUAAACAGCUGAAUAACAUGGUGAAUGCCAGGAAGAUGGUGGGCCUGUGUGGUAAAGUCAUUGGAAUUGCCAGCUCGGGGAUGGAGGUCAGCCCGGUGCUGAUGGUGGCGCUGGAUGCGAUUCAUGUGCUGCUGGGGCCGUCGGAGCAGCGCGUGGUGAGCACUGGGGCUACCGUAUUGGGGAUCAGUUGAGAAGGAUGGGCGCGCGCUGCCGAUUGUUCACUCGCAUUGCCACUGUGGCGGUGGUGGCGUCAACAUAAUAUGCGCGCGUUGUCAAGGUAAACCUACCCCUCAGCCCCUGACACUAGCACUUGUUCCGAUGUAUCCGCUGCGUGGUUCUGCAGGACGGAUCUGAGCCGCCGCCGGCGCUGCAGGCGGUGGUGCGGCGGGAGUUGCGGCGGCUGGGCGCGCCGCGCCUGCUGGCGGACUGCGUGCGGGAGCUGCGGCUGCAACAGGCGGACGAGCAGGGCGAGGAGGGCCGGGCCCAGGAGGAGUGGGAGCGGGCGAGCGGGCGCACGGGCCACAGCGGGUAAUGGUCGCGUGCUUCCCGGAGCGGGAGCGGUGACGGGCUGUAACUAGCAGUGUCCUACCCCGCUGCGAAGCUGGGGCCCGCAGGUCCAUUGCUAGCUCCAACGCGACAGUCCCUGGCAGCAAGGACCUGACCAUUCCCAUCUCCAACUGCAGCGUGCCAGCCUCCUACGGCACGCGGUUAAUUUGCAUUUGUAGCUGAUCCUCAUAGCUAUGGUGCCGCAGGAGCCCAGGCGACAGGGUCACGGCCACCGCCGCCUGCCCCGCGAACACGUUCCACAACACAAAAGGCAACAUCACAGCAAGCCAAACCCUGUCCCCCGAAGUAACAGGAGAUGGGAGCUUGAAAGCCUGGGGCCGUGCCGUACGCACGCGUAGGCCCACGUUCUCGCCCACACAGCACGUCUGCUGGCUACCUCCAGAGAGCCAGCCGCAUGAUCACUACGACAUGAAUGUACCAGCAGCAGUUCGUUCCCGACCACCAUUCUUCUGCUGCCGCCGGCACAGGCCCCACACAUGAAUGCGCAACCCACUGACGCGCACUGGUACGGUACACACAGCCCCUGCGAUCCAGCCGCCUCCAGGCCAGCCGGCCCAUCCUCCUCGAACCAAUCACACCCGCAAUCGCACGGCAGUAGCAAGCACAUCUGGAGCUUUAGCCCCCGCCACCGCCCCCGCCACCGCCCCCGCCACCGCUGCGGCCGCCGCGCUGCAGCAGCGCUUACUGCUGCUCGCCGGCGGCGGCGCGGAUGACGUGGCGGUGGCUGGAGUCUGAGCCGCCGGUGGCGCCGCGGCGCACGGCAGCGGCCGCCGCCUCGGCCAGGCGGCUGGUGCCGGCGGCGGCGAGGUCGUCGGGGUCGUUGCGGUCCUUGAUGCCCCACAUGCCGCCGUGCAGCUUGCCGGUGCGCACGUCCUGCUCCAUCUGCCACUCGGGCUCGCCAUACCUGUGUUGUAAUUGGAAACAAACAGAGGUACAGAGUCGACAAGAGUGUAGGCGCACAAAUGCUCCAUUCCUUUCACAUGUUCACACACACAUGCCGCCACGCCCGCCGCCCGCCCGCCCUCACGCCCGCCCGCCCGCACCAGCAGUCGCCGCUCUCCAGCUGCAGGCUGUUGUCGCCGCGGCGCACGCGGAAGAAGCCGCGCUCACCCCAGUAGGUGCCCCUGCAGGCGGCAGGGGUGGAUAGCGGCACAGCACAGCACGUCAGCUAACAAGCGACGAAAACCCCGUGCAUGCACACACACACACACACACACACACACACACACACACACACACACACACACACACACGCACACACGCACGCACACAGGUGCGGUUGAGACACGGCUCUCACCAUCAAUGCAUUGCGAGCCUGAUGCUUUGCAUUGCGGGUCCCACACGACGAACCCUGUCGCUGGUGGGCCAGCCAGGCCAUCGCAGCAACAGCUCGCUAAGGACCCCGGCAACUCACCAGCUGUUGCGCACGAUCCAGUACUUCUCGCCGUCCUCCUCGCCCCAGCCCACAACCUCCACAUCUGCGCAGUCAAGAAGGCCACAGUGUAAGCGAGUGGCAUGUGCUGUUGCGCACGACCACUCCGCGUCGCCCCCCGGGCCGCCAUCCCACCACAUCCUUGCAACCCCCCCCCUCCGCCGCACCGUGGUCCAGCUCCGUGUCGCCGCUGGUGUCCUUGUAGAUGCCGCCGUUGUAGUGCCACGUGAAGUCUUCCGGGCACACCUGGCCGCACGUGAUGGGGCCGCGGUGGUAAAUCUCACUCAUCAUGGCCUGUGGUGGUCGGGGGAAUUAUGGGAGGGCGGAGCAGGGGGCCAGAGCGGUGAGGAAGGGCAGGGCAGGACGGGAGGCCGUGAGUUGCAGGCGUGAAGGCUCACAGGAAUUCCGGCGCACGCACUGUGUACUGUGUACCCGCAACUAGCUAUGCAACCACGCCUACCACCUCCAGCGCUCCACAACUACAAGAGUCAUGCGCAUUUCUCUGAAGCGCCCGCCACGCCACGCCACGCCACGCCACGCCGCGCCACGCACACGCCCCGCCUGCCUCACCUCCACGCCCUUGUCGACCUGGCCCCAGGCAGUGAGGUAGUAGCGGAUGGGGCGGUGGAUGGGCCAGCAGGUCUCCACGCCGUCCAGCGGCAUGCAGUUGUUGCACUCGCCAUGCGCGGGGCAGCGCUUGUGGCCGGGGAACUUGGUGUGGUCGGUGGCGUUGUAGGUCAUGCAGCCCUCGUCAGGCAGGCCGAAACUGCGGGGUGAUUGGUGGGUGGGUGAGUGGGUGGGUGAGUGGGUGGGUAGUGGGUCGGUUGGAAGGAGGGUACGCCUAGAUUACAACACGGAGGGGUGGACAAUAUGGGAUACACUGGGGCGGGGCGGCAGGAGGGGAGGGUGAGGGCCGCCCAAACCGUGACUCGCCUUCCCAAGGGCCGGGCCCCUGAGGGCCGCAGGGCCGGUUGUAAGGCAAGAUACCCCACGGCUGAGCGCACGCUAGGACCGUGCGCGUGCACGUGUGUAUUUGCUUCCGUGCCUGCGUUAGACAGCACAAGGCCUGCGCGUGUGUCAUGUGUGGCCCCGCCACCACUCGCCGCACACUCACUCGGUCAUGUACCCGAACACGUCCACCGUGUCGCCGCCGUCGCAGCCGUUGCCGUAGCCCUCGAACGCCGCGCAGUUGAGCAGCGUCUGGCGCGCCAGCAUCACAUCCGGCGUCUCACCCUUCUUCAUGAUCUUCAGGCUGCGCGAUGUGGUGUGCGAGCGUGCGUGCGGCAGGGAGAGAGGCAGGCUUGCGGUCAGCGCCGUCGAGGACGCCAAACGCGGACGCGAAUACGGUAUCGAGGCGUGCACGCGGCGCCAACCAUGCAGACGAAUGCCUGAGCUCCAGACUCAUGACAUCACAGACGCAGGACCGAAUCACUGGUUGCGCCCGUCUCCCAACGAAGCCUGCUGGAAAUUCACGCGCGUAACCCAACCCGGUUGUGGGAGAUGCGCCCCACCGGUCCUGGAUGGCCGACAAUGUGCCGUGCACCCAGCAAGAGCCGCAGUAGUAGGGGAUGUGCUGAUUCCAGUUGGCGACGCAGUAGCUGACGCCAUCCACGUUGCACUGCGCGGGUGGAGGGAGCGGCGGAGCCGCAGUGUGUAAAGGCGCGGGAAAGGGAAUAAAGGUGUGCGGAGCCCCGGGACCAGCACGUGUCCGCCGGUUUUAUCUCCCCGACUUCGCGGGCCCCGCCCCGCAAUCCCCAGCGCGCAAUUCUGUAUGCUUCCAUGACACAUAGGCGCGCACCCAGUUCCAGUUCUUUGGCAGCUCGUGCUCCUUCUUCAGCGGCGCCGGGACGUGGUUGAAAGACGUGCGCCGGCCCUCGCGGGGCUUUUGCAGACUCUUAUCGCGAGGACCAUGGCCCUGCCAGUUCUUGCCCGCGUCCACGCCCAGCAACGCGACACUCAGGCCAAUUGCCAACACUGCGAGCGCCCGGCAAAGUGGGCCGUGCAUUUUCAUGCCGGGUACUACUAAUAGGAUCACAGGCACACUAACAAAACAGUAUUCAGAAAGUACCCUACUGACGUAAAAUCCCGCCGAUUCUGGCCUCAACGGAUGACGGAUUGCCCGAGUCCGUGUCUUGGAACUAGUUAUGAUAAACACAAGUUAUAAGGCUCUAUGCCAGCAAACUAACAAACGUCGUCCGGAGUGCCGGAACCGACAACGUGCCAUACCCUUGCAUUCAGCACUCUGCCUCCAUAUGCCCCGUCACACACGCGUACACAGGUCCGGCCACACCUCUCCCUGGCCCUCUUCCUGGCCCUGAGGCCUGAGCAUGUGGAUGGAUGGUCGGUUUGGCAUGCCGGUGUUGGUCUUGUCGGCCGCACAGCCAGUGUUUAGGCCGCUUUUAGGCCUAUGGCGUGGGGGCCCCCUCCCCCGCGCUGCUGACUUGCACGAGCGGUACCUGGUGUUGUCCACGUGCCCACGCCGUGUUGGGCGAAUACGCUAACCUUCACUGUAUGGACGUGCAAGGACGUGCGGGGGCUAGGCGUCGGACCAUGCUGCUGAGGCCGUUAGGCCCAUCGAUGCUCGGGCACAUGGCGUCCAUUACCCCUUUGAAGUAGCCCGGAAAACGGGAGACACUGUCUAACGCUUCCACACCAUCAACUCUUUCCUCAGACUUUGGUUUCGAUCAAGUCCAAACUAGAAUGGCUCGACGAGCCUUGCACAUUACCGCUUUCGCGAUUUUGCUCACGUCUCUGCCGCUCUUAGCGAUCGCCGACCCUGAGGACAGCUAUGCAGAUCUGGCUGCUCGCGUGGUGCCGGCGAAAUUGCGGCAAGCCCUAAAGCUGCUGCCGUGCUUGACCGCGGACACGGGUGAGGCGCUCGGACCGGCGCUAGUGCGCUACUGUGCAGAGCUCGAGCCGGCAAGCUUUGGAGCGCCUGUGUGUGUACGUGGCUCGUAUCGGCUGUGGUGCCGCUUAAUUUGGGGGUUCCGGCGCGGGGGCUGCGGGGGCUGAAGGGGCGGUUAGGGUUUUCCCGACGGCAAACAGGCUACCCCUCCGGCCGCCUGCUAGCCGGGCCCGCCUACUCCAGCCUACACCAACAAGCCGGCAAUCCAACAUGAGCAAGCAUGCGUAUAUUGCCAUAGUUAUCUUGUUUGGACCAAGGACACAGAAAGCAGCUGACGAGGCGCCGCGUCAGCCUGCGAACCUCUGCCUGGCGCCGGGUUCCCCUACCACCGCCUGCCCCAACCAGUCCUGUCCUUCCCUCCUUCCUGCUCUCCGUGCGACGCGCUCCCCCCGCCACAAACAAACACGCACCUUGUGCUCUUUAGCACACAUACAGAGCCGCUGUCUGCUUGCGCAUACUUCACAUGCACUGAUACACUGUGUCGAACACUUGCCCUUCCACUUGUGCUUUCCUCUUUCCUACACACACACGCACACGUGUGUUCCAGGCCCCGGCGAGGUCAAGCCGCUGCGUGUGUCACUGCUGGAGGCGCGCGAGCAGCUGGACGUGUUCAGCUUCGCCUUCCCCAACCGCAUCCGAGACGCGGAGCCCCUGGCGUCCGCCGAGGUGCUCACCACCUGGGGUCGCGUCAAGGCCGCCAUCGGCGAGCUCCUGAGGGCCAUUGUCGACUGGAUCAACAAACACGUGAUCGACACAGGCGUCAGGGGGCUGGUGCGGCGCGGGGAGCCGCAGCAGCAGCAGCAGCAGCAGCAGCUGCAGGCCGCGGCUGACACGGCAUACCACCGGCACAAGGGGCGGGACCUGUGGCUGGACAUGCGUGCGGACCUGGAUGAGGGGUACGAGGUGCUGGGGGACUUCCAGGUGUGUGUGUGUGGGGGGGAUAAGGGGGGGAGGGGGGGGUGGAACGGCGCGGGUUGUGGGAGAUGAGGAAGGGCCACGAUUGACGCCAGUGCGCUGUUUGCCACGCCCUGUCACUACACGCCCAGUCACAUACGGUACCUGCUUCCACUGCAGCCACCUGGUGUCCGUCCGGUACUUAACGCCUGACUGGCUUCGGGUUUGUCUGAGUCAUGUCAGGCCUUGCAAACUCGUGCCCUGUCCGUCCCUUUCCCCUUAACUCAACCCCUCCUACACCCCCGGGUUCGGUUUAGUUUGGGCUGGAAUCUACAGCCCCCUUCUAACGCUUUCUUCACUGUUGGGACAUGUUUCGUUGGGAUCGGGCAAAUACCCCUUGCCCCGCGCUCUGUGGGCUGGUUCUGGGUUUUGGUUACUUUGGGACUGAAAUAAAGUAACCCUCCUUUUCCUGCCCCAGGACCUGGACCACUCGCUUGUGGAGUACAACCAGACUGACAUGGAGGUCAAACGGGCCGUGUGCCUGGACUGGCAGAGGCGCAUCAGCCGCCACAGCGCCACGUGAGGGCGGGGAGCGGGGAAGGGCGGGGAGGGGGAAAGGGUGGGGAGCGGAGUCUUGGGCCUUGGGUCUGCCCCGUGGCGGGUCCGUACGUGCCGCAUGGCUGCCGCGCUGUGUCUGGCGUAACCCAAACCCCGCACGCAACGCGGUUUCCCACGGCUCCUGUCCAUACUUGACCCCUGCUGCCCGCUCUGCCCACGCAGUGACCGCUAUCUGGAGUUUGUGAGCACGCCGCUGCACUCGGACGAGCUGUACACGCACAAGCACUCCAGCAAGUGAGGCGCCGCCCGAACCCGUGUGUCGCACGUGCGUCGCAUGGGUCUGCAGGACGCGCCGUGUGCGCGUGUUGCCUGAAUGAGGAAACCCAACGCUGAUGAUCCGUUCGGCCGCAGCGCUGGCUGCACUGCCACAGCUCUCCGUGUCCGCCUCACAUUAUUGGUCGCCUGUGCACCUGUUGCAAAAUGCGCACACGCCGCACCCGGGGGCUCCUGUGCCCUGACGCCAUCAACGUGCUGCCUGUGGCGCCACCCACACCGCCAUCAGCACCACCACCACUACCAUCACUAUCUGGCAUCACGCCUCCUCCACACCCCUCACCCUGCCCCCCUCAGGCUGUUUUGGGGCUACAACGGCGUCACUCCCGACACGGCGCUGACCGGGCUGCAGAACCUGGCGCUGAUGAUGCGGAGCAGGUGUGUGUGUGUGUGUGUGUGUGUGUGUGUGUGUAUAUGCGUGUGUUUGCUUUUGCGUUUGUGUGCGUGUGCGUGUGUGUGCGUGUGUGUGUGUGUGUGUGUGUGUGUGUGUGUGUGUGUGUGUCAGGCACGUGCGGGUGUGAGGUGGGGGAAACACACGUGCGGGCGGGGGGCAUCAGUCCGCGGGCGGGCGCCGGGCGGGCGCUGCGACCCCGGGCAGCCCGCCGCCACGCACAGGUGCGCGCCCUGUCUGUGCCUUUACCGCAUACGUCUUGCCUCCACACACUCGGCCCUGGCCCCAGCCUGAGCACACAACCCCCCUCGCUCGUUUGCAUCGGGUUUGGUUUACCUGGGCUGGUAUUUAUCCCCCCCGUGGCUGUUCCCCAAGAUUGUCUACCACUUCCAUUAGUCAUUAUGAAUGUAACCCCCCCUGUACACACCCGCCCGCAGUCAGCUGGCCCAGCUGCUGGCCUGGUACCCCAAUGUGACGGCGCUGCAGCCCGAUGACCUGCUGCAGGUGCGGGGCGUGGCGUGGGGAAGCGGGCGCAAUGGUGCAUGCAGCUCCCACCCGGGAUGGAGUGACACUGGGGCUCCGCGGGGGAUCGGGCUCCGUCCUGCGGCGUGUGGACAGACUGGAAGAACCUGCUUCACGUGUGUUGUCGAGUCAUCCUAUCCACCCACCCCACCCCAAUCACCACAGGACCCCGGCCACACCACCUUCCACAAGUUUCGCAAGCUAAUCAGGUGCGUGCCGCCGGGGUCAUGUGCACAAGUAUGGUAUGGAUCCAGGAAGCUCAUGUAGAAAUGGGUGGAGCGGCCUUCGUGCUGUGUUGCUUGUCAAGGCGUCAUGUCUUUGCUAGCCUACUUCCCGGUACGCGAUAUCUGCACAGCAGUAUGUGGACCGCUAUGAUAGAGCAUUUUGUAUGCAACGCCAUGCAAUUGUUACAUAGCAUCGUGGCCACAUCAGCAACACUGGAUCAACCCGGCCUACCCUCCACCAGGUCUAUUCUGGCGGUCCUGGCGGAGUUCCCCGAGCUGCUGGGCCCCGGCCGCAAGGAACCACACACCCGUGUCGCAGAGGUGGAGGGGGAGGCGCGGGCUGCCGCCGCGGCCACCACCCUGGCUGCGCGGCGCGCCCUCUCCAGCUACUCCAGCAGCAGCAGCAGCAGCAGCAGCCUGCAGCUACGCCGCAGCGGCGGCGGCGGCAGUGGCAGUGGCAGCCGCAAUGACGGUGUGGCGGUGCGGGACCCGUGUGACGCGGGUGCGGCGCUGAAGGCCCUCCAGCGCCUGUUCCACGACCUGGGCCAGACCAACGACAAGGUGCGGGGGGCAGGGCCGUGUGUCGGAAUGGUGGGCGCGUGUGUGGGUUGUGGGCUUGGGCACGGGCAGGGGACCUGGUAUGUCCGUGCGGGGUUCCGACGUCGAAGCGGCUGCGUGAUGGCAUCCGCGGCCAACACAAACCCCCUGCGAGCGGCUCGACACCCAACCUGCUGCGGUCUCGCCCGGCGGCGGGUCCGUCCCGGCGCUGCGCCCUCCCUACUCAGGUAUUCGCCUACCAGUUCUACUCCUCCCGCGGCGCCGAGUGGGCUGCCGAGGCGGAGGAGGCGCACCAGCAGGCGGCGGAGGGCUGGUCUGACAACCUGGACUUCAUGGCCUCGGCGCAGGUGGGCGCAGUGAGGGGUUAGUGUGAAUCGGUCCCAAAGGAACCGAGACCCAGGACUCGGGGGGGGGGGGGGAGGCGGAGGCGCGGGCGCGGGCGAGACUGGUGGGAGCCUGGGAUCGGGAGGUUGUCGAGUCGCUCUCAGCUCACAUCAGACACGUGGGGACUGAGGGGCUGGAGAGGAUGCCGGCUGUACGGGGGUAAGGAACAACAGAGGGGAUGUGGGUCGGGUCGGGCGUCGUGCGGGUUGUGGGUGACAGCGGCUGGUGCCGCUGGUUGCGAUAAAGCAGGCAUCCAAAAUCGCUUGUUCCGCAACCAUGCACCUUCCAGGACAAUGCCAGCGGCUCUUGGACUGCAUUUUGUGCCUGGCCGUGUUGCUUUCGCACAUGCUUUUGCGAGCUCGCCCCCUUGCCUCCCCCUUCUGAGAUGGAGAACAGCGGCAUGUCCCCUGUCCCUGCUCCCCUCCUCCUCGUCUCCCUGUCCUCGCGUUCCCCUCCGCGCCUCCGCCCGCUCCACUCAGGUUGACGUCAUGGCUCGGUGCAUUGCCGCCACACUGCCGCGGGGGGAGCAGCCGCUGCCCCAGCGCCGCCGCCGCCACAUGUAGAGCUAGGCGGGUGGGCAUUUGCAGCCCUUGUACUACCCGCAAUGGAUCAUAAAUACAUUUUACAGCCGUUGCAGCGCGUGCUGCAUGCAUUCAUGCUAGCGUUGGUUCUUUCACGGCGCUUAAAACAGCCGCAGUAGCCCGGUGGAGUAGCAGUCAGACGUGCAAACGUAUAAGGAUGUUGGGGGCUAAGCUGCGCGCUCGCGUGCGCUCGCGCGCACACGCCCAGCUACUGUGCGUAGCUGCUGCGGUGGCGGCGCCAGUGACUCCAAUCAUGUGCUGCGACCCAGCAAAACUGUUGUGUGCGCAUGCGUUUCAGUAAGUUGGGAGCGCUUGUUGGCGGCAGGAGUUUGUGGUGCAGGGGUAGUCAAGUUGUUGAUCGUGUCUGAGGCCUGUUGCACGCUCGGCACUUUGAUUCGAGGCUGGCAUGGGUACUGCUGCUCGAGAGCACGCAUCGCUGGGCUGUGUGUUGGGCUUCUGGGACUGGGAUGCAGACGUGUUGCUCAAAUGCAGUUUGCAACAAGCGCGGGCCUCACAGUGCCCUCCACGGGUGCGACAGCCCCCAUUGUGUAUAAGGGCCAUCCGUGGCUCUCGCCAACGCGGCGCCCCCACACGCGAACAAUGUGUUGGGCUUGCGCCUAGGACAGACGACCACUUAGGACGCUGUAUGAGGGCCAGCGCUAAGACAGGAUCAACCUUAUCUAGCUCCUUACAUGAACGGACCUAGGCCGGACGGCUGGGGAGUUGCUUUUAUUCCGGUUGCACCCGGGGGUUGCAUCUAUCCGUAUUGAUGUGUUGCGGGGGCUUGCAGGCGUGGUUAAGAUGCUUUUGCAAGGGUUGGCUAGCUCUUAAGCCCGGGCGCAUCAUUGCAUCGGCCUCUUUUGAUGCUACUGUAAGGUUUGGCUGAUGACAGCUUUGCGCACGCAAACGUGCUUGGAUUGGGUCGUCAAGCUUCAAAAGACGCGUUUCGCAUGGCCUAUGGCGAUAACGUGCUUCCAGGUGCUGAAGUAGCCGCGUUGGCGCGCGCGAUGGCGGCCAUCAGCGGUUCGCCGCGGCCAUCGAGACUCCCUAGAGGGCACGGUAAGUCUUCAGCUUCAGUCCGCUACUCGAAAUUGGUGUGCAUGGAGUUCAUAGAGGAUAUGACUCACGGUACUGCAGCUGCGCAUUGACAUUGACGAGUAGGGCGCGCGCCCUCCGAGUGCGCGCCAACUGCACCCGGGCAGCUGCCGAUGUACGGCGCUCGUCCGAGUUCUCCUAGCAACCUCUCAUGAGCCAUCGCAGUAUUAAAGCACUGUGGCAUCGACAAUUUCUUACAACCCUAAGCAAUUACAACUGCGACAUCUUACGAAGCUCAUCAGGUCAGACUUAGCGUUUUGCAACAAUCAGCCUCUUCAUCACCAAACUGCAAACAUGAAUUUAGCAGCCAUAAAUAGGGUCAAAGUUUUAGUAGCUGUCUGCCUGGCAAUCGCGGCGCCAACACACGCAGCGGGCACCGGCGCGCGGCCUGAAUCGGUGGCGGCCUUCCUGCGCGGCGGCAACUUGCCAAGCAUGGGCAACAUAGGUGAGUACUUGAAGGCAACUGGGGAUGGGCUGGUAAGGGGUCAGGGGAUUGUAAUCAGCAGCGUCCAAUCUGGCUUACAGCGCCAACAGACCUUAGACUAAUGUUAACGACCAGCACCAGCACGCACAAGCACCGUGUGUGAUGUUGUGACCAAACCCGUUCAACACUCACUUCAUUUGCACAUAACUGUCCCUGCUGUGCCGCGCAGGUGCACUGGCAGCAGGGACUUCAUCCAUCACUCCCGCUACUCAGGCAGCCGCCACCAGCACCGCCCGACCGCUGCAGCGCCUGCUGCAAUCCGACCCCACACUGCCCUUCACCUGCACCGGCAUCUCCCCGCCACAAAACUGCAAGCCGUCGCCGCUCUUUGGCAACAGCAUGGACUGCAGCCAGGCCACCUGCCCCCUGGAGCCCGCGGACGCCACCACGUUUGAGGACUGCGUGUGCGCCACGAACUGCCGCGGCGCAGUGAUGAUCGCGCAGUGCGCGGUGGGCUACAGGCAGUGCGACCAGAGCUGCGUGCCCUUGAUGCAGACUGGCUGCCCCAGCUCCUGCUACCUCAAUGUAAGCCUGGGUUCUAGCCGCCUGGGGUGGGCUUUAAACCUUACUUUGGAGUUGCGAGGCAAGGGUUGGCAGUCGUGUAGUCAAGUGUCAUCAAGUCUGUGGGAGUAGUCCGGGGCCCUGCUGCUGCCGGGAAGUCAGGCUGUGCACCAGCAGCCUGUCAGGCAGGGGUGCCGCUACUAGUCACAGCCUCUCUUGCUGCCGCACCCAGUAAAUUAGGGCCCCUGCCGCAACACGCACGAUGACUCACCUGCGGCGACUCACCUGCGGCCCAAUGUGCCCCUGCCACCUCCCCCCCCCACCUCAUCCACCGCCCACCCCUGCAGUUGGCGUUCUACACCUACUGCCGGUGUUCACCGGCCGAGGUCGCGGAGUGCGUGCAGUCGGUGGUGGAGGCAGUCAAACAGACCUACCUGCAAGUGUGCGCCAAGCUGCCGCGCCGGGAUGGCAGCCCCGUCAACGCAUUGCCGCCCCAAACCUGGGAGCCCGCGCCCGCGCCCAUCCAGCCGGAGCCGGAGCCAUUCCCUGAGCCGGAGCCGUCCCCUGAGCCGGAACCGUCCCCUGAGCCGGAACCCACCCCUGAGCCGGAACCGUCCCCUGAGCCGGUGCCAUCAUCUUCUCCCUCGCCUACCCGCUCGCCCUUACCUUCGCCUGCUGCUUCUCCAUCACCCUCCCCAUCCCCCAAGCCGUCGCCCUCCCCGGCCCUCCGGCCACCGCCCCCUUCCCUAAGCACCCCGGAGCCUGACGCCCUCUACGGCCCGCCUCCAGCGUGGGAGGACGCCUCUCCGCCGCCGCCCUCCCCACGGCCGCCACGCCCGCGCCCGCCCAGCCCCAAAGCCUCACCGCCGCCCAGCCCUCAGCCCUCUCGUACUUCACCCAGCCCCGUGCCUCUCCUUCCUCCCCAGAGCCCACAGUCCCCGGAUCUGCCUUCUCCCGCCGAGCCUCCCAGCCCCGAGCCACCCAGCCCCGAGCCACUCACCCCCGAGCCACCCAGCUCUGAGCCACCGUCACCUGAGCCGCUGCUGCCGCCCCAGAGCCCCAGCUAUGGACAGCCCACGCCGGCCCCUUCCUACAGUCCUGCUCCCCCGUACGGCGGCUCGUACCCGCCUUCGCCUGUGUACGGGCCGUACGGUGGCGUUCAGCCGCCACCGCCUGCUGCUUACGGGUCGUACGGCAGCCCUCCUUCGCCAGUGUACGGCGGUUACAGCUCAAGUCCGUCCCCCUCCGCAGCUUAUGGGUCCACCGAUACGAACCGUCCGCCUCGGCCGCCACGCAAGCUCCAUUCCCGGCCGCGCCCCGUGCCGCAGUGAGGGGCUAGGGGCGUGCUCCCGAACAUGCAUUUGAAUGAAUUGCAUGGUACCACGCAGCAGGUGCAGGCAAAUACAAUACGGUAUUCGUACAUAUAGAGGAAUGCCGCACAAAAGCGCAUUCGCAUGUUGGUGUGUGCGUGAGGUUGAGCAGUUUCGAGCAGGGCUUUCCUGUACAUACUUCAUCUGUACAUACUUCAUCUGUCUUCAUCGGUGCGGAACUGCAUUGAGCAGGCCAGUAGCGGGAGCUAAUCAGGGAUCCGCGGGUCGCCUCCGCCUCGAAGCAUCUUAUUUAUCACCGUAUUGAAUGUAAGCAUGGUGUGGGCCUGAGUAACAGCUCUAUGUCCAGAGCAGUCCAGAACCGUGUGCAUGUCUCUGGGUGUCCAAUCCCAGCAGCGCCGGCCUGUAGCCUUUGCCCGGUAGUCGUGUUUAUAUGUGGGUGUUCCUAUGGUGGUACGGGGGGGUUGGCUGCACACAGGAUCAGUACAUUCACGGACACACGCAUGGACACGCAUGACGUACAACGCAUGGUGUGGAGCGGGGGACGGAGGUUCGCUGCGAACGUUAUGAGCUGUAUGGGGCGGAUGCAAUGACAUACUGUAGUGGGUGGCGCAGCGGACCACGCAACAAACAUUUGCAGGAUGGCACAUGAGCAUGGCAUCUCCACCUGACGAGGUUGCCGCACGGGGUUGCCGGUCAAGGGAGCUGCACCGGGUUGUGGUGUUGGCAUGCAACUCGGGCGUCAGGUGCCACGGGCUGUAACACGUAUUUCGGUAUUUGUGACAAGACACCAACCAUGGUGCUUACCCGUGUCCCCCGAGCCUGAACGCCACCAAUCAGUCACUGGGAGCCCCAGAUUGGCAGGCCUGCAAGGCAAUUGCGGUAGUUGAUGUCAGGCGGCGCCGCUCCCCCAAGGCUGGUUUCGCUUCCCCCUUCGGCCCCAACCCAAUGUCCACUUCCGUAGGCCCAGGGACAUGUCAUCCUGGAAAAUUGGAAACGCGUUGACUUACACUCGGCUGGGUUCUUCUUCUCGAGGGGGUAUCGCGGAGAUAUCCGAUGAAUGAUAGCUAGGGAGCUCUCCAGUGUCGAGUGACCAGACACACCCCUUCGCAUUGUACACGUAACCAGCAGGUGAAUCCACGAGCGUGCAGAGCAGCGUAUGUGCAGGUCCUGAUAGUGCAUCGCCAACAACAGUGCUCCCCAGUGUACCGGUAGGAACGCCACCGGGACCAGGGCAUGCCGGGACUACCGGGCCGGCCAUCAUUGCCACGACAGCCAUCUGCAGUAGGUGUGGCUCAGUCAAUGUUAUUGAUACACAUGUAACACAAGUAUCUUACUAAGCUAUAUUAUAACUGCAUUAUAAAUCGAACGAACGCGUAAGAACUUCCGAUUCCGCCACCCACGACGACCUCGUUCACAGUCACUUCACAUUCUGCGUCCUUACGCUUCCCAAGACUCGUCACUAAAACCAACAUCCAGCUGCAAAUCACAGCGCACUGCACGAGUCGGUCGUCGACUCACUUGGCCGCGAUGGCGUCGGUCGCGCACUCGCACUCCCUGUCCACACCCGCUGUCACCCCUAAACGCUGCUGCCUUAGCGCUCUGACCUCGCCGCUAGCUCGAUGCAUCGGGCCGCUGGGCCACGCAGCGGCUUCUCGGGCAGCGCCGACGUCCCACGCCUCAGCAAGCUCUGGUCCCGCGCUCUCAGUGCACGCCUCCGUUUUAACGCCCCAGCCCGCAGCUCUGGUAACACCGCGUCCCCAGUCGCCAGCAGUCCCUGCGCCUCUCGCACCGACUCUCAGGUCACUGCUGCUCUCCGCAGCCUCCAGCUUGCCGUGCACGCUGCUGGCAGCAGCUGCCUGCUCCGCUGCGGAGCGCUCGGCCUCCGCCGCCGCCACCGCCGCAGCACCAGCAUCAGCAUCAGUGGCAGCAGCACUGACGUUUGAGCCUCGGGCACCGGAAGCGGGCGUGCUGGCAGCCCAGGUGCUGGUGCUGCUGCUGACGGCGGGCGCUGGCGCGUACUGGUGGUACGUGGUGGUGCCGACGGAGCGCGCGGCGGUGGGGCGUAGCAAGCGGCUGGGCGCCCUCAACAACUACCUCGGAGAGCUGGAGGCGCCGCAGGCGACACAGGAGCGCAAGUGGGUAUGCUAUGGUGAAAAUGUGGGCUAAGGAGCUAGGGAUGGAGGGACGGUAGGAGUGAGACUGGACGGCGGUCGUGGUGGGGGGCGCGGGUGCAGGUUCGGCUAACAUAGUGGCAACGAGACAGCGUGGGCGGACCCGGCUGUGCUUCCGGCAUGCUCUUGCCUCAGCCUCCCAUGCACGUUAUCCUUUGCCGCCCAGACUGGAGCGCUGGUUCUACACCGACUGGCUGCAGCAACGCGAGAAGCGCCGCCAACGGCUGGGCAAGCCUGCGGCGUCAGCCGCCGCUGCCGGCUCUGCGGCAUCUCCCGCCGCUGCCUCUCCCACGGCAACCCCUGCCGAUGCCUCCGAUGGCGGGGCCCCGAGCCCAGAGGACCCGUACACUGGCGAGCACGUGCCGUACAGCGAUGACCUGCUGCGACCCACUGUGGAGACGCCCACGCCGCGCUUCUUGUCCCUGGACAACCCGUUGGUCGCCACGGCGGCGCUGCUGACGCUGGUGGGCGUCGUGUCCACGCUUUUGCAUGGGUAAUGGGUGUGAUGAAGUGGCCUAGGGUCGUCAGCGCCCCAAGGGAUACAUUGCGGCUUUUCGUGUCCACUGGGUAGGUUGGGUAGAUAAUCAUGCGAACAGUGUGUAUCAAAGAUAGAAGUGCCGAGUACCCCUGCACCUGGCUUUCGUUCUCUUUGUACGUCAGGACGAUGAGAAAUGCUUGCUAAUACGACGUAUCAGUGGUGGGGGCUCAGCCUGCUGUGUUGAUGCUGUGUUGAGAGUGGGCAGUGGAGGCGUGCAGGGAGCGGCUGCGUAGAUUAACACAGGUGUCCUUGCUAGGACUGUGGGCUACGAGGAUGGGGGUUGUCUCGCUUGGAGCGCAAGUGGCGUGAGCAAGGCUGCAAGGGCUGUGCAGUGUGCAGUGCCUGGCAGUGUUUGUGAAGGCGUUGCGGCGUCGGCACGUGCACACCUGAUAUGAAGGCUACUACCACAUGGGAAAUGCAAGCCACCUAUGUGAUGCACGUUUGUGAUGCUACCGUUGCUAUUGUAUAGGAGUAGGACUGGCACGACGAGAGGAUAGUAACGAACGGGGCAAGGCAACGGGGAGCAUGUCAUUGGAGUAUGGAAAGUAGCGACACUCAGCGACUGGACUUGCCGGCUAGCGGGCACUGGCGCUGAGCAGCAGGAGACACAUGGCAAUCGCUUGCAGAGCUACACAGGCAUGAACUGCAAGGUCACUAGAUGAGGCAGGCUUUGGCGGCCCGGGUGUAUCACGCCCGGGACAGAGGAAUACCCACAGCUGCAACACUAUUGUAACUCAAUAUCGAGCACCGACGAUGCACCGUGGUUGCUGCCCGCACACCCACAUUAAGCCCACGCAACCCCGUGGCCCACCGCAGCACCACCGAACGCUCGACGUUGCACGCAAAUGGCGGGCUCUCCCCGUCGGCUACCACUCUUGGGCUGCUGCAGGGAAUUCCAGUAUUUUACUUACCUGCUGGUCAACGGUCCGGCUGGGUGUGCGAUGGGACAGUUGUAAGGCAGGUUGGUGAAGUCCCGUAGGGUGCCGCUGGAUGUGCGAUGGGACAGUGGUAAGGCAGGUUGGUGAAGUCCCGUAGGGUGCAGCUGAUUCCCAGAACCCAACAGAUGGCACACAAUUGGCAACGGCAGGGCAUGAGUGCGCGGCUGGUCGAACGCCGGGGUGAUUGUACCGACGAGUUGCUGGCUGGCUGGAAGGGUGCUGAAGCGCAUUCCGGUCCAGCUCGGUAGCGUUCCCAUGUUCCGAAUCCUUGCCGCCCUCGCACACCCUAAAGCAUCCCCUAGUCCUUGGCCACCACGAAGCGGCUGACUGGCUGAUUCUCAGAUACCCAUCCCACCUUCAAAGCGAAACCCACAGGCACAGGUACAACUCAUGUCGCGUUGACUUACACUCGGUUGGGUUUUUCUUCUCGGGGGUGAGAUAUCUGAUGAAUGAUAGCAUCCGAUCUCUCCAGUGUCAAGUAACCAUGCCUAACCCUGAUGCCUAGGGUAUUGUACACGGUGCCGCCACGUAACCAGCAGGUACGGGCUAAUUAUUGUGAAGUCACGCGCGUUUGGGGGAAACCAAUAGCAGCGUAUAUACAAACGCAAAACCGCAUAACCUCAGAACACCAGCAAAACUGAGACCCAAAAGUCUCAAAGAAUGUCCUUGCGUCAUGCGAUCACGCUUGGCUUAGCCACACACCAACAACACACACACACACACUCUCAUUGCACUCGCUCAAACACCAACAAACAUCACACACGGCUCAGAUCGACGAGCGCCUCCAUUUACACGGAGCGCUUGUUGGCGGGCUGGAAGUCGCGGGCAGUCUUGGGGCGCUGGACCAGGAAGCCCAUGAUCUGCACCUGCUUCUGGUUGUCGAAGGCCACCAGGCGCACGUAGGCAUCGGGGAAGGCCUUGGUGCAGGCGACGAUCUCGCGCAGCACCUGCAUGGGGUCGCGGCAGCCGAACAUGGGCAGCUUCCACAUGGUCCAGUAGCGGUUGUCGUAGUACAGCUGCGGGCGCACGGGAAAUGGGAGGGAGAAGAGGUUCAGUCACCAGCGCACAGAACCACCAAAGAUGGAAUUGGGCCCCUUGCUUUUCCGUGCUGAAGCACGAGCAGGGGUAUGCGUCAGUUCCCCGCGGUGAGAUAGGCGCUGUCCCGGUGCCAAGCUAACCCAGUGCCACAGUGGACCCGUCUGGCUCUCGCUCCGACUUACGCAAGACACGCUGCCGAAGCGGAUGGCCGACUCGUUGGACACGUAGGCCUUGUCGGCCUCAGCGAACUCCAGGCAGGGGAUCCAGCCUGCAAGCGACAGCACGAAGGGGGUAAGAUAAGUGGCCGACGCAAGCAGUCCAGGGCUAUCCCAGAUAAGGGCGGAUGACAGGCAAACUAUACAGCAGACAACGAACAAGCUAAUCUCAAGCUUCGAGCGAUCGUAAUGUCGCAGUCUGCAGCUACGCCCUAGAUCGUAUUAACUAGCUCUCAAACACAGCCCAGCUACAUAUGCCCACGGCACCAAGCCGUGCUCACCGUUGGCGACGAUGUAGUCGACCUGGGCGGCGAUCUGCUCGUCGGUCAGAGGAGGCAGGUAGGAGAAGGUCUCGAACAUCCUGCGAUCACGCGAUUGACCAGUACUCGUUAGAAGUGGCAGAGCACGUGCGAUGUGAGGCAGCAGGCUGGGCCCCAAGCAAUUGCGUCGCGACUUGCAGAAUCCCUAUCCUUCGGGCUGCGCUUGCUCGUCGACUCACUUGUUGUUGACCGGGGUCCAGACCAUCAUCUGGUUGGCCUGAGCCGGGGCAGCCACGGGGGCAGCCUUGACGGCGGGCUUCAGCGCGGCCAUGGGGCGCACGCUGGAGCGGGCCGGGCGAGCCACGGCCGCGGAGACGGAGGACUUGGCAAUGACGGCGGCCAUUUUAGAUGUUUGAGAAAGUGGUCGAAUGAACGAGUAAGUUCUUGGGACAAAGACUCGGAGGUGGCCGGUCGCCGUUUUCAAUCCCCGCUCGCCGAUGACCCGUACGGCAGGCUUAUCCGACUCGUCGGCUUUCACGACCGCCCGAGCCUGCGCGCUUCAUCCGCUUCCGGAUAGCUUGCUACGAUAAUGCAUUAUUCAAUUUUACGACGCAAUGUCAUGAGCAGCGCCGGGCGGGCUUAUUUACAUGCGUCGCCUCGCUCGCCGUUGACUUGAUACUUUGGAAAUUCGGGCUCGAUUCGUUGCUACAGCCUGCCUUUUGCACACAAUGUGAACGUCGAUUCUACAUUUGUAUGUGACUGAACUUCGCGGCCCCUACUGAACGUUUCGUGCAAGCGACAUGUCGACUCACAACUUGGAGGAACGCGCGAGGGGUCCCCACACGCACUUUCAGCCUGCUUUGGCGAAAUGGACAUGAUAGGUAUAGCCAGGAUAUGGGUCUGCUAGCUCGCCUGGUGUUUUGACCGUCGAUCGGUUUCGCGUUGGGCCUUGCGGCUGCUCGCUCGCCGCGGAUGCUUCCGCACACUGCGCGGCACGUGUUAGUCUGUGCACGACGACGGUUUGUUUGUAUUGCGCCGCCAACGUUCAACGGUGGUGGUAGGUUCGAAUGUCAGAAUGUCGGGCACGGGGACCUUGGGCGCAUUGCCUACAAGCGCGUGCCUGUGUUUUUGGGGGGCAGAGAAGUGAGCCUGCCUAUUGGGUCACAAUAGCACAGAGGCGGGUGGCCAGCGUCGGGAACUGGUUCAGAACGGCUGCAGGGACAGCACCGUGCGUGCGUGUGUGUGUGGGGGGAGCCUUCAAAGUUGACGAGCUUCGCAGCGCUGGGAUGGACUGGCAUUGCGUGCUUGAGUUUGCGUCCCGUGAGAACCCUGCAGUUUAUGGCGGAGACAGGGAAGAGGGAAUGGGAUCGCGCCGGUGCAGGGAAAGGGCACGAAUCUGAGGUUACGGUAUCUGGGGGGAGGUGCCCAUGUGGGAGGGGAAGCCUAACUGCCUGUCUGGGUGCAGACCAGGAAUGGCAACACGUGAACGGUUAGUAGAGAGCUGUGUGCUGUUGGGCGCUCUCGGCAAGGGGCGUGGGAGGGGGCUGGGUUGGUGGGCGGCUGUCCGCACAGUGCCUAGCAGUGCGCACUCAGGCCCUUCGCAGACCGAAGAGGGCGCCAGGGCCUAUGCGCGCGUGGCUUGGCGUGAGGUUCUUGCUGUUGGCGUCAGGCGCCGCAAAAGGCCGGGUGGCUCUGCAGUGUCCUGCUCGCUUGGCGUGCGGCAAAGUGGUUCAGUCAGCGAGCGCAGUGUAUGCGUGUGUGCGUGUAUGCGUGUGCGUGCGUGUGUGUGUGUGUGUGUGUGUGUGUGUGUGUGUGUGUGUGGUUGCUGCGGAGAGGGCACGCAGCGACACGAGAUUGCCAUGCAGUGGUGCAAGCUGCUGGGGUCGGGUAAACGGGGUGGGAAAGUUGGUGAUGGUGGAAUGUUCUUGUGGCACGAACUGGCCUUGUGCGUAUUCGUUCGCCCCGUUCACUCUGGUCCACCAAUCCCACAGUCACUGCACUUAAAUGCCUAAAAGCCCCUGCUACGGUGCGGACAGGGUAAGGCCACGGCAGGUCUAAGUCCAUAUGCGCCCGUAGAGGUUCGAGUGCGUUAACCGGUCGCAAGGUGUUCACAACAUGUUGAUGUGUUGACAACAUGGCUGUGGUCAAGACGUGCCCUGCGAACUUCCCGUGUUUACAUGUUAAUAGAGCUCGCUGACAGCAGUCAUUUGACACCAUUAUGGAAGAAAACAGAGGGGAUUUAGGGGGUGUACGGCACGGUAUGGCACGGUCGGUCGUCGGUCCGGGGGGUCGGGGGGUUCUGCAGGGUGGGGCCUGGAACUAUUGUUCGUACACCCCCGCCUGGCUCCCCUGCUCCCCCUGACUAACCCCUGACCUCUGGCUUUCUUCGCUUUCCUUUCAGUGUCACCAAUUCUCAUGAGUGGGGGCGCACCCCGAAAUAAGCGGGUACGGUGCUUCAGUUCAGUGCUUGCCACGGCCUCAAGAGCCCCAAACCACGUGCACCGAAAUUCGCUUGCACUCCAAAUGCACUGGGAAGCCAGUAGCAGCGCGCUCUCAAAUGCUGGCAUGUGUCUCUCUCUGUCCAGAGCCUGAAUGCGCCAAGUCUGCUACGGUAGGAGGGUGCAACCCGUGGCCCGCCUUGAACCGCGCUUGCACACACAGCUGGAUUGCUGCUGGCAUGACCGUGUGAAAGAGGUACAGGCAGCCGGGCAAGUCCCAGCGGGCAGGUUGGUGUAGGCUAUGCCCCAUAACAGGCCCGUGCAUGCUGCCACGGACUUCUCGCCAGGAAUGUAAGUCCCGAUGCUAGACAAUUACUCCAGCAGCUGCAUGCCGCCAUCUUCAGUACUCGGUAUCCCUUGGUGCACGCAAGUCAAGGAUCAGUCCCAGGGCUCACCCUGGAGCAAUGCAGCCUGCGUGUGCACCUGCGAUGGAGCCGCGGCCUGCGGUAUUGGCUGCCCGAUUACGAAGCUGCGGGUGGGGGCAGUUGGCACGCAUUCCGCCACAGACCCCGCGAGCCUAGCCGCACCCAAGCUCUAAGCGGCCUAGACCGUGACCAAAGGCGAAGAAGCCGCGGCCAUCCCUGCGCUCAGAUUGCAUUGGUUACAAGAGGGACCUGCUGACGCAGUUCAUGGCUUCAUGCGCUCAGAGCCCGAGCCCUGAGCGGCAGCAAAAGCAGAAGCCACGCUACGUGUGCUAGCUACGACCAAUGCCUUGUACAGCUCUCCUCGGCUGCGCUCUUCGGCUGCGCUCCUCGGCUGCGCGGGACAGGGGACUCCGUGCAACCACUAUUGCUUAUAGCCUGCACCAGUCAUUGACGAGUGUUGCGGAACUAAUGCGUACGUAGACCAGAGCGGAAGGCGGAGUGGGCUUGCAGGCGGCACGAGAGUAGGCAGUCAGUAGCGCAAGUUGCGAAUUCCCAUGUUACCUCGUAACCGACGGUAAACGCUGUGGACGGUCGCGCCCAUGGCUGGCUGACGGAAGCUGGCUGCGGUAUUGGGAUGGCUGGGCUGGAUGACGCCGGCCGGGCUGGCGUUGGGACUACCAGAAAGGAUGCGCCCGAAACCAACCUGGAGAACACCAGCGCCACCGGUGCCCAGCACGACAUGUAAGGGAGGGAGGGAGGGACAGGAGGCGUGAUGCACUGCAGCGUAGAAGCUGCAGUCAUGGGCACAGCUUGUACCAUACAGCACGGUCAUCAAGGACACAAUGCCGGAACGGCAUCAUACGAGGCGGGGUUGGGAGCUGCAGGAAGUGGGCAGCGGGGCAGAAUCAAAGGUUUGCAUCGUUUAGAACAGGUGCGGAACACGCGCCAGCGCCAGCGCGGAGGACCCCAAGUAAGGCCUUUACUCACCAAUGUACGUUUUGUACACCCAAUCUCGCCCCCUAUCGACGUUGGCACUAGGUAGCUGGCUAUCAUUCUAUGCAGAUUAAGCAAAGGGGCACCGGGAACAACUGACUCAUGUUCGUCACUGCAGGUUACUGCAAAUGCUGUCUCCACCUUUGCUGCACGGUUCCGUUUCGUCACGUUUGCUGGUGUUGCUACCCGCCGUUCUUUAGUGUGUAACUGAUCUGCGAACCGAGUCCCCUUCAGCUGAUGAACCCCGCAGCAACUUUUCCAAAAGCGCUUCAAAUACGCCCAGCCCGCCCAUGGAGAAAGAGGCCAAAAUCAACGGAGGAUCGUUACAACCAACAAAAUUGCAAAACUCCUCCGCUUUUUACGUGUUGAAAAAGACUGAUCAGCACGAAACGGGGAGCUAAGCUACCGCUUCAGCACUUGAGAGCAGUAUCUUCCAUCCACCGCCGUUCGUCAGGGGGCAAGGCUCAGAUCAACGAGCGCCUCCAUUUACACGGAGCGCUUGUUGGCGGGCUGCCAGUCGCGGGCAGACUUGGGGCGCUGGACCAGGAAGCCCAUGAUCUGCACCUGCUUCUGGUUGUCGAAGGCCACCAGGCGCACGUAGGCAUCGGGGAAGGCCUUGGUGCAGGCGACGAUCUCGCGCAGCACCUGCAUGGGGUCGCGGCAGCCGAACAUGGGCAGCUUCCACAUGGUCCAGUAGCGGUUGUCGUAGUACAGCUGCGGGCGCACGGGAAAUGGGAGGGAGAAGAGGUUCAGUCACCAGCGCACAGAACCACCAAAGAUGGAAUUGGGCCCCUUGCUUUUCCGUGCUGAAGCACGAGCAGGGGUAUGCGUCAGUUCCCCGCGGUGAGAUAGGCGCUGUCCCGGUGCCAAGCUAACCAGUGCCACAGUGGACCCGUGUGCCAAAAGCUAACCCAGUGCCACAGUGGACCCGUCGGGCUCUCGCCAGACUUACGCAAG
rnacentral:lncRNA from 1 species